rnacentral:lncRNA from 1 species
AAACCCUCAAACGGCAAACGGCUAGAGGUCACGUGACAGGGCCUUGACGUCACGUUUGUCGUUAUCAACUCGUGUUUUUCAACGUCGAGAGACUGAUUUUCGCAGUAUAAUUUAGUCUUACGAAUGGCUCCCUUUCGUUGGCCUGAGGUCCGCCACGACCUGGCAUUGGCCACCGAGGUCGCAAAAUGUUUUACAGAGAGGCCACAGGAAUGGGAAGAUUUAGCCAAACGACAAGGCCAAGCGUUUUCUACCGAAACAAAGCAAGUUGAACUUAAAGGAAGAGGUUGCAGAGAACGGUGGACCGAUUACUUGACAGAUAUCAAAGUGAAGACGCCAAGGCCUUGAAAAGAACAUUGCAGUGAAAAGUCUGCCCAGUCAUCUGAAGAGGAUUCAAGUGCUAGAAGUGGGUCAGAUGAUGAACAGAAAACUCCUUUUAAAGAUUCAAAGAAGAAGAAGAAAGUCCAACGACGAGCUAGUAAAAUGUCUCCUAUGGAAAUGUUGCCAGAUAAAUACUCACAGAAGGCAGAGAUUAAGAGAGAUAAGCUUGAGAUACGUAGAAUGCAGCUGGAGUUUGCCAAAGAAAAACAUGCUGCUGAGGCGGAGGAGAGGAAAGCAAAAAUGGAGCUGGAAAUUGAAGAGAGAAGGGCAAUUCUGUCUCUCUUAAAAGGUCGGCUGUAAAAGAAAAACCUUUUGUGAGAGAACAUCAUGUUUCCAGUACUAUAUUAUUCAUGGCGCUGUUUUAUAUUUGAUAUUCCCUUGUUUAUUUCAUUUUGAACAAUGUAUUAAGAACACAACAUUGGACAUGAUACACUUUAUUUGCUUUGGCUUCUUUACAUUAUUGUUUAUCAGUCAUGUCAAACUAUUACAUUUAUUUGUCACUCUAGUAUGAAAUCCAGUGCAUCACUGGUUUGACAAAUAUGUUUCAAGAGAUGGUAGAUCUAGAUUAAAGUAGGUGCUUGUUUGGGAACCGUAUAGGAAUGUAUGACAGUUCACCAAAAUAGAAGCAACCAAGUAGUACUUUCCAACCGGUUGAAGCAAAACCUUGAGGUUUUUCUUAAAAUCUAAAUAAGCAAAGUUUUGAAAUAUUUUGCCAAAGUCCCAUUCAACACUUGCUCUAACUCUACUCAUUUGAGUGCUAAAUGUCUGCUCGUCAUUUGUCAGUUUUGCUCCACAAAAUGGUGAUAUUAUAUUGUAAGCUAGGCCAUAUUCAGGGUCACCAUAUAUGACAUGUUUCCCCUGUUGGUGUCUGAAAUCUUCUGAGUUUAUUGGCAAGACCACUGACCCCAAGCAUACAGGCAUCAUGCCUUCUUCCCUCUAUGGGGCCAAACAUGUGAGCGAUGAGGCCAUUGGGAGCUUGGACUGACUGAAAAUAAAAUAUGUAUAUGUAUUGGUAU